AGCACAGUGACAGAGGGACCCCAGGCUUUUUUUCGGGGGAUGACUGAAGCUAUCACCUUGCUAAUCCUUGCUGUCCAAACUGGCCUCAUUGAGCUGCAGGUCAUCCACAGAGCCAGUAUAAUGACAUCUGUGCUAUCUGCUUCCAGGACAUGACCAGUGCUGUGUUCACUCCGUGCAGUCAUUUCUUCCACGCUGGCUGUCUGAUGCCCUCUCUGUCGUUCACAACCAAGAGCGAAUCACCAACUAACGGUGGAGCUACCCAAGGUACACCUGCAGCCAAUCAGAACCCUGCAGGACAGGAAGAAGGCACUCUACUGGAUGACAGGAAAGAGGGAGCGUCAGUAAAGCAGGACGGAGAUAAUGAAACUGCCACAUCAGCUGGGGAAACCUCCUCUUCCACCUCCCCCACUGGCAUGUCUGCUCCCCUGCCCAUCGUCAAACCUCCAUUAUCAUCUUCCUCUUGUUCUUCUUCUCCUCUUGCAACUGAUUCUGUGCUCCACCAGUCCCCUGCAGAUCACCCUUCUGCAUCUUCUUUCUCUACCUCUUACACAUCAGACACACCCGACGCUCCUGCAUCUCUCUGCCAUUCUGUCUCCACCUUUCACCAACCAACUUCACAGAGGUCCUUCCCCUUGAGUGUGAGGAUGUUGAAGAUAUUGAAGAUAUUGGUAGUCCUGAUGUGAAAGCAGAGCUUCCCUCCCACCUCAGCAUCACUAAGGAUGUUAUGGAGCGCUGCAUUCAUCUGCUGUCUGAUCCCAGCCUCAGGCUCCGACUCAAGGUACUGGACGUGCUGGAGUUGUGCCUUCAGGUGCUGAGUGAGAGGGAAAACGAACUGCUGCCUAUGGCUCAUCGCUGCUGGCCAGCACUCCUGCAGAGACUCACAGCCGAUGACCCAUUAGCAGUCCUCAGAGCCUUCAGGGGCUGCCGUGCAGGUCACCUACAGCUCCACCAGUCACACGUCUGUACGAUCAGGGGAGCCCACUGGAGACAAGUCCACAGGAAGCAUGUGGAAGAUGAUUCUGGUGCUGCUGCCUUUAGCUGUGUUAUCAGCUGUGUGCUACUACGCCUACGCCUACAUCGUGUGAUGAACAGUGGAAGGAUUGUUCCAUCGAUGUCACAUCGAGAUUCUUUUUUUGUGCUUCACCACUUUUUACUUGGACUCUGCUACAGUAGCUUCACAUUGUGCUGUCCAACUUUAAAGCCAAAGCUUCUAGUGACCAGCCAGUUUUGAGUUUUUACAACUCUAAUACUGUCGAUUAUGUUAUUGUUAAUACAGGAAAAAAGUGGGACUGUCAGGUAAUAUCUGUGCUGACCUUGCAGUUGCAGUUAUUAUUACUCUGUAGCUGUACUCUAUAGUUAUUACUCUGCUAGAAUCAUUUUACUGUUGAAAAUAAUACUUAUUUAUGUGUUACUGGCCUUUGGUGCAGCUCCCCACUUCAUCUUCUGUCUGAAACAACUGUUUUAACUCCUCUAACAUUAAAGCCAUCCAUGUAUCCUUUUUCUUAUCUAAUUCAGGGUCAAAUGUAAUUGUUGAAUGACAGUUUUAAGCAGUGUCCUUUUUUAUUAUUUUCUAUUUACCCGAGUUUUGAGAUGUACUUAAUCAUGUGGCACCAGAGAAAGAAAACCGAAGAAGAUUCAAAACACUGGACUCACACUGAGUCGUUGUGUCGACAGUGACAGUAGACAAGUUGAUUACAGCGCUGUGUAACAAGUUUACACCUGCCUCUGUCCAGUUUAUCCAAACCUGCUACAUAGGAUUUAAAAUGUUACUUUAAAUCUAAAAUGCUGUCUUCCUGCUGUUCUGUAAAGUAUCACUCCUAAACAGUGUGUGCGUCAGUGUAACAGUGUGUAAUAAUAAUAAUAAUAAUAAUAAUGAUAAUAAUACAGUUUCUUAGUCACUGUAAAGCAGAAAGAAUUAAACUCUUAAUAAAAUGUGACUGACAAGAAAUGUAAUGAGGCAAAUUGUUAAAGGUAUUUUUUGUAAAAAUAAAAAAAAAUCAGAAAAUGUAAUGAAGACAUUUUACAAGAAA